ensembl:lncRNA LINC01366 long intergenic non-protein coding RNA 1366
GAGACCUCCCACUCCUGGGGCCAGAAGGAGUUGCUGAGAAGGAGCUGUGGUUCUGACCUUCAGGGGAAUUCCCACGUCUGUAUGGUGGCUCGUGAAGAGCAUGGUUCCUUUUCUCAGCCCUCUUGAGGGGCGAGGAUGCUGAGGACUGAAGGCCUGCUCUCUGUCAUGUGAUGCUAUACUACAGCCAGGCUGGAAUUUGGUGUCUUAUUGCUACAAAGAAUCAGCUUUGUCAAUCCUAAGGUCACUGAGAGGCUGCCAGAGGGCCAUUUUCAUGACCAGAGGGAUCUGUUCAACACCCUGUGGGUCCCAGCACCUAUCUCAGGAAGCAGGGUGCAUCUGUCCACCACCAAGUCUCAGGGUGGCUGGGUGAGCGCUCAUCAGUCCCAGACAGCAGGUUGGCACAAAACGACACUGCCCACAAAACCACAGGAAGAAGAGAAACUCCGACUGUCUUUCAGCACACAGAAGACACUGUACUGGACCCGGACAUUAGGCAGACACCCACGCCUGACUUUCAGGAGAAAAGAGAACAUGACUAACGGAUAUUCUUAGUAGAUGGUUUAUUAGAAAAGAGAACAUCUUCCAGCAUGUGUCCUGGGGUGAUGGGUGUGGGAAGCACUCAGUCCAUAGUCCUGGUCCCUGGCUUCCCCAAGCCCAGCACCAUGAAUGUACAGUGGAAAGCAGAGGGUGCAGCGUCUCAGAAAGAUGCUUCCACUCACAAGGAUUGGAGCUCACAAGUGAGCUCCAUAACCUGCAAACCAGAGAAACCUGAGACACUGCCCCUUGGCCAUUUUAUCAACGGAGACUUUAUUGUGAUUAUCCCGGCAGGGGGCCGAGCUCUCCUCUCUGCAACAGGAAAUGCUCUUUAGUGAAAAUGCAGCAUUUCUCCAAGGGUAACAAAGCUGAACGCCUGCUUAGCUUAUGAACCCUCAGUUGGCCUAGGUGGUGCAAAGACCCUGCUGUUACUGCUUUGAUCAUCAGUACUGUGGACUGUACCAGGAGAUCCCUGGGAAUGUGCUCUGGGCGGAAGCAGCUUUUAUCUUUGGCCCUCACCCAUGCUUUAUAUGGUGAGGUUGGGAAAAUGGCACAAGGCUUCUCCUGAACCUCAAAUCAACACCCUUGCCCCAUUUAGAUCCUAUCUGGCUGUUUCUUGCUAAUAUUACUGCAUCACUGCACCAUCUUUCCUAUUUCAGCAAAGUGGAGUCAUGUGUGGUUUAUGGGGUAGAUGGACCCCAAAACUGAUAAUAUGAAUCAAGCUAUGGUGUUUACUCCCUAGGAAAUGCACAAUUUUUCUGGAAACCUACAGAAGCUUCAAAUGCAUUCGCCAUGCAAAGCUAAGUCAGCAGAACAACCCGUUUGGCUUUGGAGGCUAGUUCAGUUCCGCGGACAGGGAGAAAGAUGAGGCAGACUGUGGUUUUUCAGUUCCUGGAGCUUACGGAGCUCCAAAGCUCCCUCUCUUCCCACCCUGGCUGCACUGUUCUUAAUUUUAGAUAAUACCCUGCCUUCUCGUAUUGCUGCUGAGCUCCUAGCAUCCUCAGUUUAUCUGUCUGUGAAAUGAAAAAUCUAAUGUUAAAUUUUUUACCUAUGGCAUGAGAGAGAUGGCUAUGGCUCUUGUGAGCCUCUCUGCAGCCCCUCUUUUCCUUCAAUCACCCUCUGUCUCUCCUGCCUUCUGCUUAUUCUCUCUCUCCCCUCAUCCCCACUUUCCCAGUGGGUCCUCUGUUCUCUUUUUUUUUUUCUUUUUAAAUCUCUCUAUGCCUCCAGCCGAGAAGAUAAAGAGUGUACAUCUUUCUGGUUAAAAAGUUUUGCUUUGCAGAAACACAGCCAAUUUAUGAUUCUGGCCUUCCCAGCUAGGGACAGUGUUCAUUUACAUUUAGGACCAUGAGGAGAGAGGCUUAGCUGUGUGUUUCUGAGGCCGGAGAAAAUUACAGUGAUAUAUAACAGUGCUGCACUCAUAGAGGUGCUGAGCCGGGGUUGGGCUCAGGCGGCCGCUAAGCUCAGAGUGGAAAGUUUCAGAGGGGAGGCAGAAAGGAGAGGUCUAUAGCUCCUCCAGAUUCUAGGUAUUAAUUUACUAAGAUAUUCCUAAGCCAGAAAACAGAGACAGAAGACAAAGAGAAAGAGGGAAGAAGAGCAAGACAGAGAGUUAGAGAGAGACAAAGAGAGAGAGUUAGAGACAAAGAGAGAGUGGAGAGGAGAGAGAGCAAAUAUUGAAAGGAAAAGGAAAAAGAAAGAAACCUGACAGCUCAUGAACUUUUUAAAAAGUUACAAAUUAGAUUUGAAGAGAUGGGCAGAGGUUUAAGAUUUCUUCAUUAGGCUGGGUGUGGUGGCUCAUGCCUGUAAUUGCAGCACUCUGGGAGGCUGAGGGUGGCAGAUCAUCUGAGGUCAGGAGUUCGACACCAGACAGGCCAACAUGGUGAAACCCUGUCUCUACUAAAAAUACAAAAAUUAGCCAGGCAUGGUGGCACGCGUCUGUAAUCCCAGCUACUCUAGAGGCUGAAGCAGGAGAAUCGCUUGAACCCAGGAGGCGGAGGUUGCAGUGAGCCAAGACUGUGCCAUUGCACUCCAGCCUGGGUGACAGAGUGAGACUCUGUCUCCAAAAAUAAAAAAUAAAAAAAAAA